UGAGCCUUUUAAAUAGGCUACAAGCCCUACAAUGUAUUUUCUUCGACUGUGGACUAAUGCCCCGUGGUUCAUAAGAAACUUUUAUUUGCACCGAGAUGAUGACUUAAAAGGUUAACUUUCCCUGCUUCUCGAGUUUACUUUGCGUUCCUUUACUACAAAGGGAAAAGGAUUAAGCAGUAAGGAAGUACAUCGACAAGAACGACGCUCUAUUAUAACAGCAAAAAACUGGACAAAUCAAGAUCAAAUCAGAAGCAUAAUUAAAGGACAAC